AUUGCUUCUCGACGUUUGGCUAAGAUCAAGUGUAGUAUCUGUUCUUAUCUAUUAAAAAUUUUUUUUUAACAUCUUUA
rnacentral:snRNA from 1 species